UAUUAUUUUAACUUGAUAUUUUUGUGAGUGUGGUCACGUGAUCAAAUCGGAGGGAAUAGCUGGCAGCCAUUUGUCUGUUAUCUAAAAAAACGAUUUCAAGUUCACUCUAGUGCACCGGCAGGUUAAAAGAGGAGAGACUGAAGUGAAAGAGACAGGGACUCGAUUCCAUAAAUUGAUCCUGAUUUGUACUGAAGGAUUAGCUGCUAUUUGAAUUCUCGUCUGUAUGUACAUUUUAUUUCAUAAUGGACUGAAAAGCAUUCCUACAUUAUUAAAUGUAGUGAACUGUGAACUAUCUUAUUUAUGAUGUCUUGUUUAUUGGGAUACAACACAGCCGUAGCCAUCCGGGUUACAGUAUUAUAGACUAUUUUAACAGUAUUAUACUUUAACUACAUGUACUUUAACAUGUAAAACUUCAUACACUAGAGUAUCAAAAUUGGCGACAGGUUCAUUGUCUAAUGUUGUGAAACGUUGGCCUUUGGUUGAAAAGUUUUAUUGUGCAUCUUGUGUUUGAAUUUAUCCG